rnacentral:rRNA from 1 species
AUUGAACGCUGGCGGAAUGCUUUACACAUGCAAGUCGAACGGCAGCACGGACUUCGGUCUGGUGGCGAGUGGCGAACGGGUGAGUAAUGUAUCGGAACGUGCCCAGUCGUGGGGGAUAACGUAGUGAAAAUUACGCUAAUACCGCAUACGAUCUAUGGAUGAAAGCGGGGGAUCGCAAGACCUCGCGCGAUUGGAGCGGCCGAUAUCAGAUUAGGUAGUUGGUGGGGUAAAGGCCCACCAAGCCAACGAUCUGUAGCUGGUCUGAGAGGACGACCAGCCACACUGGGACUGAGACACGGUCCAGACUCCGACGGGAGGCAGCAGUGGUGAAUUGUGGACAAUGGGCGAAAGCCUGAUCCAGCCAUUCCGCGUGCAGGAUGAAGGCCCUCGGGUUGUAAACUGCUUUUGUACAGAACGAAAAGGUUUCUACUAAUACUAGGAGCUCAUGACGGUACUGUAAGAAUAAGCACCGGCUAACUACGUGCCAGCCGCCGCGGUAA